UGGAGGAGUGUGGAUAGUAUUCCUGGCUGGCUGAGGGAGCUACAGGAAUGUGGACAGAGCAGUUGCUGUCAGAGACCAGGGGAGCAACAAGGAGUUCUUGGCUGGCUGCUGGGAAGGAGUACAAGACUUCAGUCCUAUGCAACUGGUGGGGCCCCUACGACCAUACAGAGGUCAAGGAUACCUGGAAUUGAUGGCCCUGGUUUUCCUUGAAGGUCACGAGUUCCCUAGAAGAAAAGGAACAAGAACAUCAUCAAUUUGCCUUCCUAACUAUCACUUUGAGGCUGCUCAGGAGCCCAGAUUACAAGUGCUGGGAAUCAGUUGCCUUUGAUCCACCUGUCUGAACCUGGGACAUCUGUUUCUCUAUUUCCCUCCAGGCUCUUGAGAAUAUCAGAUUUUUCUGGGAGUGAGCCCUAAACUGCACAUUCAGUAAAGAUGUGCUCAGAGGCCCCUAGGGGUCUUUUCCCCAUGUGUAGACAUACCCAAAGCUACCCCAAAGAUAGAUUGGGUCCUGUCACAGGCUGGCCCUUUAAGGGAAGCCAGCCUGGCCAAUGACCAAGCAGCUAGCCCCCAGCUGAUGAUAUGGCCACUUAAUGAUGAUUAGUGACCCCAGCUGUGAAAGGUAACAGAGUGGAGAACAGCAGGGAGAGGGGGAGACUGUGUAGAAGAUUCUCUCUCUGGGAAAAGUCUGGAGAAGGCAGCACAGUCCUGCAGGUGGGAGAACCCAAAGGGAGCAGGGCUAGGCUCUGCGGGGGGCCCUGAGCUAGGGCCUGUGAGGAGCAGGGAGAGCCCGUGGGGAUGCUGCCGGAGUCCCUGGGGAUGGGAGGGAGGCAGGCAUUGAGAGGAAACCUGCUGAGGCAAUAAGCAAUCUGGGAAGAAUGCCGCAGGAGCGGGAGGCUCAGCAAAAGUAUGUCUGUGGUGCCUAAGAGGGGCAGGAGAUGUAUUGGUUCAGCAGAGAAGGGAGAAGCCAGAGGCUGUUAGACCCUAGCUCUAAGCCCCCUUAUGCUACUUCCCCACAGCCUGGAAGUGGUCCAGGGAAACAGCAGCAUGUCUACAGAAGCAGCAAUGCAGAGUCUGUGGGCCAGAAUGCAGAGCAGAGGGUGGGCCUGGGCUCCCGUGCCAGCCCCUGAGGAAAGGGGCAUGCAAGCCCAGGCUGCUGAGCGAGGGCCGGUCAGAAUACUGCAGUGCAGCCUGAGUGGGCCAGAAGAAUUAUUUGGACACGUAACUUAGACUUUCAAUCGGACUCUCUUUUGUCACCCUGGAAGGGGACUGAACUUUGUGAUGUGGCUGAGCUGCAAAAGACCCAACAGGCGGUGCUGGAGAUGAGGGUCGCUUGCAGCAUUGCACCCUGCCGCAAAAGGGCGCUCCUGAGAGUGAGUCUGUGCAGGGGCUUUGUGUCCUCCCUCUGAACUGCUGAUGCCCACUACUGCCUCCGUUCCAGUCUGAGAGUGUCGUUAAGAGCAGUCAUUUCACAUGAGCACAGGUAGAAGAGGAGGGACACAGACUUUACCUUCAGGCCACAUGAUAAACCCACACUUGGCUUCUGUAUCAUCCUCUUCUCUUAAACGCCUCCAAGCCACUUGGUGCCAGGACUAAGCUCACUAUAUACACGCUGCUUGGGAUCCGAGACACUGACUGGAAAAUGUCACCUAGUCCGUCCUUUGACCAGCAUGAGACUGUUCUUUCCAAUGUACUCUCCAGUGUUGUUUUUGUCAGUAAUCUACACACUGAAAAUGCCUUACAGAUGAGGGUCUACAAAUAACCAUUAUAUUUCACAGCACCCCAGGGAGGUGAGGGGAACAAGUGUUUGGUUUCCCGUGAGCUGCCAUAAGGGAAAAAAGGAAAUGUUCUGUGUAAGGGGGAGUGUUUGUACCUCUGGUUCCUGAAUACAAGCCGAUUAUCGCUGGUGUUUAGAUAUGAACUGUGCAUUGAAAUUAGCACAAAGCCAUUAACCCUGAGGUGUGUCAGGCUCUAGAAGGGGGAACUUGGCUCAGCGUUUUUGUAAUAGGAGUUGCCAGCCAACCAGACAGUGCUACUGAUCUGUAGCCGUGACUCCCAAAAGCAUUCGCCAGCUCUUGGCCAGGGCUGGAGUAGGGCAAGGAGAUCGGAGCUGUGCUCUCUCUCCUGCCAAAGGGGGUUUGUUCGGUCACCUUCCAUUGGGUCCUUCUGAUGUGCCGGAAAUGCUGCGCAUACAGCUCUCCAUUCCUGCUGGCCUCCGUCAUUGGAGCUCUGUAGUAAUCAGUGCACAGGAUUCUGUGGCACAACUGGUUUUGAGUGACUGAAUGGGAGGCCUUGGGCUGACUGAAGUGGAA